rnacentral:rRNA from 1 species
GAUGAACGCUGGCGGCGUGCCUAAUACAUGCAAGUCGAGCGAACAGACGAGGAGCUUGCUCCUCUGACGUUAGCGGCGGACGGGUGAGUAACACGUGGAUAACCUACCUAUAAGACUGGGAUAACUUCGGGAAACCGGAGCUAAUACCGGAUAAUAUAUUGAACCGCAUGGUUCAAUAGUGAAAGACGGCUUUGCUGUCACUUAUAGAUGGAUCCGCGCCGCAUUAGCUAGUUGGUAAGGUAACGGCUUACCAAGGCAACGAUGCGUAGCCGACCUGAGAGGGUGAUCGGCCACACGGGAACUGAGACACGGUCCAGACUCCUACGAGAGGCAGCAGUAGGGAAUCUUCCGCAAUGGGCGAAAGCCUGACGGAGCAACGCCGCGUGAGUGAUGAAGGUCUUCGGAUCGUAAAACUCUGUUAUUAGGGAAGAACAAAUGUGUAAGUAACUAUGCACGUCUUGACGGUACCUAAUCAGAAAGCCACGGCUAACUACGUG